rnacentral:tRNA from 1 species
UCUAAUAUGGCAGAAUAGUGCAAUGGAUUUAAACUCCAUAAAUAAAGAAUUUUCACUUCUUUUUUUAGAA